rnacentral:rRNA from 1 species
AGUCGACCCCUAAGGCGAGGCCGAAAGGCGUAGUCGAUGGGAAACAGGUUAAUAUUCCUGUACUUGGUGUUACUGCGAAGGGGGGACGGAGAAGGCUAUGUUGGCCGGGCGACGGUUGUCCCGGUUUAAGCGUGUAGGCUGGUUUUCCAGGCAAAUCCGGAAAAUCAAGGCUGAGGCGUGAUGACGAGGCACUACGGUGCUGAAGCAACAAAUGCCCUGCUUCCAGGAAAAGCCUCUAAGCAUCAGGUAACAUCAAAUCGUACCCCAAACCGACACAGGUGGUCAGGUAGAGAAUACCAAGGCGCUUGAGAGAACUCGGGUGAAGGAACUAGGCAAAAUGGUGCCGUAACUUCGGGAGAAGGCACGCUGAUAUGUAGGUGAAGCGACUUGCUCGUGGAGCUGAAAUCAGUCGAAGAUACCAGCUGGCUGCAACUGUUUAUUAAAAACACAGCACUGUGCAAACACGAAAGUGGACGUAUACGGUGUGACGCCUGCCCGGUGCCGGAAGGUUAAUUGAUGGGGUUAGCGCAAGCGAAGCUCUUGAUCGAAGCCCCGGUAAACGGCGGCCGUAACUAUAACGGUCCUAAGGUAGCGAAAUUCCUUGUCGGGUAAGUUCCGACCUGCACGAAUGGCGUAAUGAUGGCCAGGCUGUCUCCACCCGAGACUCAGUGAAAUUGAACUCGCUGUGAAGAUGCAGUGUACCCGCGGCAAGACGGAAAGACCCCGUGAACCUUUACUAUAGCUUGACACUGAACAUUGAGCCUUGAUGUGUAGGAUAGGUGGGAGGCUUUGAAGUGUGGACGCCAGUCUGCAUGGAGCCGACCUUGAAAUACCACCCUUUAAUGUUUGAUGUUCUAACGUUGGCCCCUGAUCGGGGUUGCGGACAGUGUCUGGUGGGUAGUUUGACUGGGGCGGUCUCCUCCUAAAGAGUAACGGAGGAGCACGAAGGUUGGCUAAUCCUGGUCGGACAUCAGGAGGUUAGUGCAAUGGCAUAAGCCAGCUUGACUGCGAGCGUGACGGCGCGAGCAGGUGCGAAAGCAGGUCAUAGUGAUCCGGUGGUUCUGAAUGGAAGGGCCAUCGCUCAACGGAUAAAAGGUACUCCGGGGAUAACAGGCUGAUACCGCCCAAGAGUUCAUAUCGACGGCGGUGUUUGGCACCUCGAUGUCGGCUCAUCACAUCCUGGGGCUGAAGUAGGUCCCAAGGGUAUGGCUGUUCGCCAUUUAAAGUGGUACGCGAGCUGGGUUUAGAACGUCGUGAGACAGUUCGGUCCCUAUCUGCCGUGGGCGCUGGAGAACUGAGGGGGGCUGCUCCUAGUACGAGAGGACCGGAGUGGACGCAUCACUGGUGUUCGGGUUGUCAUGCCAAUGGCACUGCCCGGUAGCUAAAUGCGGAAGAGAUAAGUGCUGAAAGCAUCUAAGCACGAAACUUGCCCCG